rnacentral:misc_RNA from 1 species
ACAAACUUGGUCAUUUAGAGGAAGUAAAAGUCGUAACAAGGUUUCCGUAGGUGAACCUGCGGAAGGAUCAUUAACGAAUUUGAACUGGAAUCUGGGGUUGACGCUGGUCUCUAGUCAUUGUGCUCACUUCAGUUUCGUUCAUUCAUUCUUCCACACCUGUGAACUCAAAGUAGGCUGAGAAAUCAGCCUACGUAUACAAAAACACCCUGUAAAAGUAGAUUGAAUGUCUAGUACGCACGAAUGUGCUCUAAUCUAUACAACUUUCAACAACGGAUCUCUUGGCUCUCGCAUCGAUGAAGAACGCAGC